UGAGUACGAGCGGCUACGGCCGCGAAGUGGAUGAUGUCAAGCUUCCAAGAAAAGCCCUAUACCCGUUAAGGCAUGAUGGCCUGUACCCGAAACCGACACAGGUGGGGUGGUAGAGAAUACCGAGGGGCGCGAGGUAACUCUCUCUAAGGAACUCGGCAAAAUGGCCCCGUAACUUCGGGAGAAGGGGUGCUACCGCGAGGUGGUCGCAGUGAAGAGGCCCAGGCGACUGUUUACCAAAAACACAGGUCUCCGCUAAGUCGCAAGACGAUGUAUGGGGGCUGACGCCUGCCCAGUGCCGGAAGGUUAAGGAAGCUGGUCAGCGCAAGCGAAGCUGGCGACUGAAGCCCCGGUGAACGGCGGCCGUAACUAUAACGGUCCUAAGGUAGCGAAAUUCCUUGUCGGGUAAGUUCCGACCCGCACGAAAGGCGUAACGAUCUGGGCGCUGUCUCGGAGAGAGGCUCGGCGAAAUAGAAUUGUCUGUGAAGAUGCGGACUACGUGCACCCGGACAGAAAGACCCUAUGAAGCUUUACUGUAGCUUGGUAUUGUGCUCGGGCUCGGAAUGCGCAGGAUAGGUGGGAGGCUUUGAUCCAUUGCUUGCGGGUGAUGGUGAGCCACUGGUGAGAUACCACUCUUUCCGAGCUAGAGUUCUAACAGCAACCCGUUAUCCGGGCGCUGGACAGUAUCAGGUGGGCAGUUUGACUGGGGCGGUCGCCUCCUAAAAGGUAACGGAGGCGCGCAAAGGUCUGCUCAGGCUGGUUGGAAAUCAGCCGACGAGUGUAAAAGCAGAAGCAGGCUUGACUGUGAGACCUACAAGUCGAACAGGGAGGAAACUCGGCUUUAGUGAUCCGACGGUUCUGCGUGGAAGGGCCGUCGCUCAACGGAUAAAAGUUACUCUAAGGAUAACAGGCUGAUCUCCCCCAAGAGUUCACAUCGACGGGGAGGUUUGGCACCUCGAUGUCGGCUCAUCGCAACCUGGGGCUGAAGUCGGUCCCAAGGGUUGGGCUGUUCGCCCAUUAAAGCGGUACGCGAGCUGGGUUCAGAACGUCGUGAGACAGUUCGGUCCAUAUCCGGUGCACGCGCAGGAAUAUUGAGAGGAUUUCUCCCUAGUACGAGAGGACCGGGAGGAACGCACCUCUGGUGUGCCAGUUAUCGUGCCAACGGUAAACGCUGGGUAGCCAUGUGCGGAGUGGAUAACCGCUGAAAGCAUCUAAGUGGGAAGCCCACCUCAAGAUGAGUAUUCCCAUGGCAUAAGCCAGUAAGGUCACGGGAAGAACACCCGUUGAUAGGCUCUACGUGGAAGCGCAGUAAUGUGUGAAGCGGAGGAGUACUAAUAGACCGAGGGCUUGACC
rnacentral:rRNA from 1 species